AGCAGUAGCCACGGGAAUACGUAGGUGGCAAGCGUUGUCCGGAAUUAUUGGGCGUAAAGCGUCUGUAGGUGGCUUUUCAAGUCCGCCGUCAAAUCCCAGGGCUCAACCCUGGACAGGCGGUGGAAACUACCAAGCUGGAGUACGGUAGGGGCAGAGGGAAUUUCCGGUGGAGCGGUGAAAUGCGUAGAUAUAUGGAGGAACACCAGUGGCGAAGGCGACUCUCUGGUCUGUAACUGACGCUGAGGCUCGAAAGCGGGGGUAGCAAACAGGAUUAGAUACCCGCGUAGUCCCUGUCUCUUAUAC
rnacentral:rRNA from 1 species